ensembl:lncRNA
GUGGUCUAUGGUGAUAGGUGGGAUGGACUGAGAGGUUGAGGGGUGGGAUUAAAGAGCUGAGGUCUAUGGUGAUAGGUGGGAUGGGCUGAGAGUGGCUGAGGGGGUGGGAUUAAAGAGCUGAGGUCUAUGGUGAUAGGUGGGAUGGGCUGAGAGUGGCUGAGGGGUGGUCUAUGGUGAUAGGUGGGAUGGACUGAGAGGUUGAGGGGUGGUCUAUGGUGAUAGGUGGGAUGGGCUGAGAGUGGCUGAGGGGUGCGAUUAAAGAGCUGAGGUCUAUGGUGAUAGGUGGGAUAGGCUGAGAGUGGCUGAGGGGUGGUCUAUGGUGAUAGGUGGGAUGGGCUGAGAGUGGCUGAGGGGUGCGAUUAAAGAGCUGAGGUCUAUGGUGAUAGGUGGGAUGGGCUGAGAGUGGCUGAGCGUUGGGAUUAAAGAGCUGAGGUCUAUGGUGAUAGGUGGGAUGGGCUGAGAGUGGCUGAGGGGUGGUCUAUGGUGAUAGGUGGGAUGGGCUGAGAGUGGCUGAGGGGUGCGAUUAAAGAGCUGAGGUCUAUGGUGAUAGGUGGGAUGGGCUG